rnacentral:rRNA from 1 species
AUUGAACGCUGGCGGCAGGCCUAACACAUGCAAGUCGAACGAGUGGCGGACGGGUGAGUAAUGUAUGGGAACCUGCCUGAUGGAGGGGGAUAACUACUGGAAACGGUAGCUAAUACCGCAUACCAUCAGAUGUGCCCAUAUGGGAUUAGCUUGUGGGUGGGGUAACGGCUUACCUAGGCGACGAUCCCUAGCUGGUCUGAGAGGAUGAUCAGCCACACUGGAACUGAGACACGGCCCAGACUCCUACGGGAGGCAGCAGUGGGGAAUAUUGCACAAUGGGCGCAAGCCUGAUGCAGCCAUGCCGCGUGUAUGAAGAAGGCCUUCGGGUUGUAAAGUACUUUCAGUCGGGAGGCGUUACCGGCAGAAGAAGCACCGGCUAACUCCGUGCCAGCAGCCGCGGUAAUUC